GCGAGAAUAACUCAGUUGGUAGAGUGCUGUCCUUCCAAGUCAGAUGUCGCGGGUUCGAGUCCCGUUUCUCGCUCCA
rnacentral:tRNA from 1 species